rnacentral:rRNA from 1 species
UACGUAGGGUGCGAGCGUUAUUCGGAAUUACUGGGCGUAAAGCGUGCGCAGGCGGUUUUGUAAGCCAGAUGUGAAAUCCCCGGGCUUAACCUGGGAACGGCAUUUGGGACUGCAAGGCUUGAGUGCGGCAGAGGAGACUGGAAUUCCAGGUGUAGCGGUGAAAUGCGUAGAUAUCUGGAGGAAUACCGGUGGCGAAGGCGGCAUCCUGGACCGACAUUGACGCUGAGGAGCGAAAGCUAGGGGAGCAAACGGG